GACGAACGCUGGCGGCGUGCUUAACACAUGCAAGUCGAACGGUGAAGCGCCUUCCUUUUUGGUGGGUGUGGAUGAGUGGCGAACGGGUGAGUAACACGUGAGUAACCUGCCCCCUUCUUCUGGAUAACCGCAUGAAAGUGUGGCUAAUACGGGAUAUUCUGGGUCUGUCGCAUGAUGGGUCUGGGAAAGAUAUUGUUUCGGUGGGGGAUGGGCUCGCGGCCUAUCAGCUUGUUGGUGGGGUGAUGGCCUACCAAGGCGGUGACGGGUAGCCGGCCUGAGAGGGUGGACGGCCACACUGGGACGGAGACACGGACCAGACUACGACGGGAGGCAGCAGUGGGGAAUAUUGCACAAUGGGCGGAAGCCUGAUGCAGCGACGCCGCGUGAGGGAUGGAGGCCUGCGGGUUGUGAACCUCUUUCGGCAGUGAAGCAGGCCUGCCUCGUUUGUGGGUGGGUUGACGGUAGCUGGAUAAGAAGCGCCGGCUAACUACGUG
rnacentral:rRNA from 1 species